rnacentral:rRNA from 1 species
UACAGAGGGUGCAAGCGUUAAUCGGAGUUACUGGGCGUAAAGGGCGCGUAGGCGGAUAUCUAAGUCGGAUGUGAAAUCCCUGGGCUUAACCUAGGAACUGCAUUCGAUACUGGGUAUCUAGAGUAUGGGAGAGGAAAGCGGAAUUUCAGGUGUAGCAGUGAAAUGCGUAGAUAUCUGAAAGAACAUCAGGGCGAAGGCGGCUUUCUGGCCCAAUACUGACGCUGAGGCGCGAAAGCGUGGGGAGCAAACA